rnacentral:rRNA from 1 species
GACGAACGCUGGCGGCGUGCUUAACACAUGCAAGUCGAGCGGUAAGGCCCCUUCGGGGGUACACGAGCGGCGAACGGGUGAGUGACACGCGAGCAAUCUGCCCUUCACACCGGGGAAACUUCGGGAAACCGGAGCUAAUACCCGGUACGACCACCUCGGGCAUCCGAUGGGGGUUGAUAUCUCCGGCGGGGAAGGAUGCGCUCGCGGCCUCUCAGCUUGUUUGGGGGGUAACGGCCCACCAAAGCCACGACGGGUAGCCGGCCUGUGAGGGUGCCCGGCCACACUGGGACUGAGACACGACCCAGACUCCUACGGGAGGCAGCAGUGGGGAAUAUUGGACAAUGGGCGAAAGCCUGAUCCAGCAACGCCGCGUGAGGGAUGACGGCCUUCGGGUUGUAAACCUCUUUCAGCAGGGACGAAGCGCAAGUGACGGUACCUGCAGAAGAAGCACCGGCCAACUACGUGCCAGCCGCCGCAGUAAUAC